ACAAGCUCACUUAUAUAUUUUUAUGACCACAUGGAAAUAAAUUGAGUAGUUAGUUUAACAUCCGUCCUAAAGUAUACACAAGCAAUCUUUUACAUUUUCAACCAUAUUUGCAAAAGAUGCAAUAGACAACAGCAACAAUAAUAGUAUAGCCGGUAUAAUUCUAAUAUUUAUAAAUAUUUAGUUAAUAUUUCAGUAACUAUACAAACUUUGAGCAAACGUCACUCAUUUAUAUGAACCUGCACUCGACAAGCUGGAUCCUCCAUUGGGUGUAUAAUAAUAUUUUGUUAACAUGAUCCUUAAAAACAUGACCACAUGUCAGACUUUGUUCUAAUACUAUAUUGCACUGGUGAAUUGAAUGAAGAAACUUUCUAGUUUUCUAAGUGUUAACAAACUCUAGUUAUUUCCAGAUCAUUUUGUGUUAACACUUUGAAGAAAUAGUAGUACAUCUUCUUUGAGAAAACUUAUGCUUCUCCCAAUUAUGUCUCAUUAUAGAAUAUAACGGCUUUGCUUUGACCAAGACGUUUGUUGAGCAUAUGAAUUUUCCGAAAUGUAGAUAGA
rnacentral:lncRNA from 1 species